rnacentral:rRNA from 1 species
GUCUAUGUGAAGUUCUACAUAGUCUGGCCUGCCCAUUGAAUUUUUAAAAGGCCGCGGUAUCUUGACUGUGCAAAGGUAGCAUAAUAAUUAGUUUUUUAAUUGAAAGCUUGUAUGAAUGGUUGGACAAAGAAAUAGCUGUCUUUAAUAUAUUAUUUGAAUUUUACAUUUAAGUGAAAAGGCUUAAAUUAAUUUAAGGGACGAUAAGACCCUAUAAAUCUUUACAUUUUAUUUGUUUUUUUUUCUAGGUGUAUUAAAUUAAUUAAAACACAAUAUAAUAUGUUAUAUUGGGGAGAUGAAGAUAUAAUAAUUUAACUGUCUUAAACAACAUAAACAAAUAUAAUUGACUUAGCAGAGGAUCCUUUAUAAAGAUUAAAAGUUUAAGUUACUUUAGGGAUAACAGCGUAAUUUUUUUUGAGAGUUCAUAUCGAAAAGAGAGUUUGCGACCUCGAUGUUGAAUUAAAGAUUUCCUUAUGGCGAAGAAUUUAUGAGGGAGAGUCUGUUCGACUUUU